UAGGGAAUCUUCGGCAAUGGGGGCAACCCUGACCGAGCAACGUCGCGUGAGUGAAGAAGGUUUUCGGAUCGUAAAGCUCUGUUGUAAGAGAAGAACGUGUGUGAGAGUGGAAAGUUCACACAGUGACGGUAACUUACCAGAAAGGGACGGCUAACUACGUGCCAGCAGCCGCGGUAAUACGUAGGUCCCGAGCGUUGUCCGGAUUUAUUGGGCGUAAAGCGAGCGCAGGCGGUUUAAUAAGUCUGAAGUUAAAGGCAGUGGCUUAACCAUUGUUCGCUUUGGAAACUGUUAAACUUGAGUGCAGAAGGGGAGAGUGGAAUUCCAUGUGUAGCGGUGAAAUGCGUAGAUAUAUGGAGGAACACCGGUGGCGAAAGCGGCUCUCUGGUCUGUAACUGACGCUGAGGCUCGAAAGCGUGGGGAGCAAACAGG
rnacentral:rRNA from 1 species